rnacentral:lncRNA from 1 species
UCUAGGGGAGGAAAGAGGCCCUGUUCUAGAGGUCAUUGUAUCUCGAACAAAUUUUAUCUCAUCACACACAGAAAAGCCUGUUAGAAUAGUUGGACUAUCUACUGCCUUAGCUAAUGCCAGAGACCUUGCUGAUUGGCUCAAUAUUAAGCAGAUGGGCUUGUUUAACUUCCGACCAUCAGUACGCCCAGUUCCACUGGAAGUUCACAUUCAAGGCUUUCCAGGUCAACAUUACUGUCCUCGUAUGGCUAGUAUGAACAAGCCUGCAUUUCAGGCAAUUAGAAGCCAUUCUCCAGCCAAACCUGUUUUGAUAUUUGUCUCAUCAAGACGUCAAACUCGUCUUACUGCUUUGGAAUUGAUCGCCUUCCUGGCUACUGAGGAAGAUCCAAAGCAGUGGUUAAACAUGG